UACGUAGGGUCCGAGCGUUGGCCGGAAUUAUUGGGCGUAAAGGGCUCGUAGGCGGUUUGUCGCGUCGGGAGUGAAAACACGGGGCUUAACCCCGUGCCUGCUUCCGAUACGGGCAGACUAGAGGUAUGCAGGGGAGAACGGAAUUCCUGGUGUAGCGGUGAAAUGCGCAGAUAUCAGGAGGAACACCGGUGGCGAAGGCGGUUCUCUGGGCAUUACCUGACGCUGAGGAGCGAAAGUGUGGGGAGCGAACAGG
rnacentral:rRNA from 1 species